GCCUGAAAGACUGAAUAUCAAUCAAGGUCGACCUCGGAUCAA
rnacentral:rRNA from 1 species